rnacentral:rRNA from 1 species
GACGAACGCUGGCGGCGUGCUUAACACAUGCAAGUCGAACGGAAAGGCCCUGCUUUUGUGGGGUGCUCGAGUGGCGAACGGGUGAGUAACACGUGAGUAACCUGCCCUUGACUUUGGGAUAACUUCAUGAAACUGGGGCUAAUACCGGAUAGGAGCUCCUGCUGCAUGGUGGGGGUUGGAAAGUUUCGGCGGUUGGGGAUGGACUCGCGGCUUAUCAGCUUGUUGGUGGGGUAGUGGCUUACCAAGGCUUUGACGGGUAGCCGGCCUGGGAGGGUGACCGGCCACAUUGGGACUGAGAUACGGCCCAGUCUCCUACGGGAGGCAGCAGUGGGGAAUAUUGCACAAUGGGCGGAAGCCUGAUGCAGCAACGCCGCGUGCGGGAUGACGGCCUUCGGGUUGUAAACCGCUUUCGCCUGUGACGAAGCGUGAGUGACGGUAAUGGGUAAAGAAGCACCGGCUAACUACGUG